CAGAUUCAUCCUCUGGCAUGAAACAACAUAAAAAGCUGAAAGAAAGACAUGGAAUGGUGGUUUUCACGCACUGGACUUCGUGUAGUGUGGGUCAGUAAUUUCCAAGGAGCAGAAAGCGGUGAGACAAAUCCUAUAAUUGACCCUUCAACUCUCUGAAAAGAAGAGUGAGGCCUAGCCAGGGAUACGGAACAUGAGGCCAACCUGAAACUUGAAAGGAUGAAAUAACACCAAUCCUACUCAGAUGUUUUUAGAACUUAGAGGAAGGAACAAUUUCUUCUUGGCUUGUUCCAUUCAGCCAGCAUUAUUAUUCUGAUGCUGAAACCCGAUGGAGACAUCACAGGAAAGAAAGUUACAAAUCCAUAUCCCUUGUGAGAAUGAUUCAAAAUGCCUUCAGGAAUUUGAGAAAAAUCAACCUCAUCAAUUAUGAAAAUAAUAACACACUACAGCCAACUGGCUUCCAUCGGGAAUGUAGCAUCUGCUCAACACUGGAGAGCUCAUCGGUGUAACUUACUAAAUUAACAAAGUGAAAAAUAAGGGAAGAGAAAAAGGAAAAUCAUGGGUCGAAGCUAAAACCCCUCUAAAGAGAAGUCUCUCUGCAGACUGGAUUAGAAGUUUCUCAAAUUGAUAGUUUGUUUUUAAAGGCACCUCUGUGGCUAAGAAAUGAAUUGGUGGUUAAGAGCACAAACUAAAACAGAAAGUCUUCUGCACUGCAAAGGGACAGGAGAAAGGUAUGCUGUGGGAUGACUGGACAUACUUAUAGCCAUUUAUCUAACAGGAAGUCAUCCAAAAUAUAUAAGAAACUCAUACUGCAUAACAAAAAACAAUGAAAAAGAGGAGAGAACUUGGUUUGAGUUUUCUUCAAAGAAGAUAUACAAACAAUACAACAGGAAUAGAUAAAGGUGCCAAGCAGCUCUGAUUACCAGGGGAAUGCAAAAUGGAGCCACAACAAAAUAUUACUCCACAUCUAUUAUAUGCAUGUAAAAUGUGGUGUAUAUAUGCAUAAAAGUGUUCAUGCAUGCAUGUGCACAUGUGUGUACAUGCCUAUGUGUAUGUCUGUGUGUAAUGUCUGUGUACGUGUGUGUGUAAGGCUGUGAAGAAAUUGGAAUCUAUUAGUGGUAAAGUAAAAUGGUGUAGCCACUGUG